AGUGAACGCUGGCGGUAGGCCUAACACAUGCAAGUCGAACGGCAGCACAGUAAGAGCUUGCUCUUACGGGUGGCGAGUGGCGGACGGGUGAGGAAUACAUCGGAAUCUACUUUUUCGUGGGGGAUAACGUAGGGAAACUUACGCUAAUACCGCAUACGACCUACGGGUGAAAGCAGGGGAUCUUCGGACCUUGCGCGAUUGAAUGAGCCGAUGUCGGAUUAGCUAGUUGGCGGGGUAAAGGCCCACCAAGGCGACGAUCCGUAGCUGGUCUGAGAGGAUGGUCAGCCACACUGGAACUGAGACACGGUCCAGACUCCUACGGGAGGCAGCAGUGGGGAAUAUUGGACAAUGGGCGCAAGCCUGAUCCAGCCAUACCGCGUGGGUGAAGGAGGCCUUCGGGUUGUAAAGCCCUUUUGUUGGGAAAGAAAAGCAGCAGGUUAAUACCCCGCUGUUCUGACGGUACCCAAAGAAUAAGCACCGGCUAACUUCGUG
rnacentral:rRNA from 1 species